rfam:Salpingoeca sp. ATCC 50818 unplaced genomic scaffold supercont1.5, whole genome shotgun sequence.
UAACUGGUCGAUCCUGCCAGUAGUCAUAUGCUUGUCUCAAAGAUUAAGCCAUGCAUGUCUAAGUAUGAAUAGUAUUCUUGAUACUGUGAAACUGCGAAUGGCUCAUUAAAUCAGUUAUAGUUUAUUUGAUAGUUUGCAACUCGUUUUUCGGAGCGGUGUUGUGCUAGACGGAUAGCCGUGGUAAUUCUAGAGCUAAUACGUGCGACAAGGCCCGAGAGAGGGGUGUGUGUAUGCGCAUUUUUUCUUCUCGAGGGCUGCAUUUGUUAGGUAUAAAGCCAGCAGGAACAUGACUGGUGAAUCAGAAUAACUUUGCUGACCGUUACACUUUUGUGUGUGAUGGUGUCUCAUUCGAAUUUCUGCCCUAUCAACUUUCGAUGGUAAGGUAUUGGCUUACCAUGGUGACAACGGGUGACGGGGAACAUUUGGUUCGAUUCCGGAGAGGGAGCCUGAGAGACGGCUACCACUUCCAAGGAAGGCAGCAGGCGCGCAAAUUACCCAAUCCUGACACAGGGAGGUAGUGACAAUAAAUACCAAUGCACGGUGUUUUUUAUGCACUGUGCAAUUGGAAUGAGAACAAUGUAAAGACCUUAUCAAGGAACAAUUGGAGGGCAAGUCUGGUGCCAGCAGCCGCGGUAAUUCCAGCUCCAAAAGCGUAUACUAAAGUUGUUGCAGUUAAAAAGCUCGUAGUUGGAUUUCAUGCGGGGUUCACGGUGUGUGGGUGGGGGUGAGACACUGUUUCACGCGCGCCUUCUUCUGCCCCGCACUGUUUGGACUCUGCAGUUUUAAUAUUCCCUGGUGGCGCCUUUGGCGCGUGCCCUUGAUUGGGUGUGUGUCAAGUCACGUAGUGGUGGGGCGCUGUUGGGGGCUUUACUUUGAAAAAAUUAGAGUGUCAAAGCAGGCAGUCAUUUGAUUUGCUUGAAUAGAUUAGCAUGGAACAACGGAAGAGGACUUUUGGGCCUGUACUGUUGGCGUGUGGUGCGGGGUGUGUGGAAGAAGAAACCGCAAGGUUUUCUUAUUCCUCCCUCACCACAUCGGGUCUGAAGUAAUGAUUAAUAGGGACGGUUGGGGGCACUGGUAUUUCGUUGUCAGAGGUGAAAUUCUUGGAUUUACGAAAGACCGCCGACUGCGAAAGCAUUUGCCAAGGACGCUUUCAUUGAUCAAGAACGAAAGUUAGGGGAUCGAAGACGAUUAGAUACCGUCGUAGUCUUAACCAUAAACGAUGCCGGCCAGGGCUCGGUGGGCAGCACAAAUGUUUCAACGCAUGGUGGCGCCAUCGGGACCUUUAGGGAAACCAAAGCGUUUGGGUUCCGGGGGGAGUAUGAUCGCAAGAUUGAAACUUAAAGGAAUUGACGGAAGGGCACCACCAGGAGUGGAGCCUGCGGCUUAAUUUGACUCAACACGGGGAAACUCACCAGGUCCAGACAUGGGAAGGAUUGACAGAUUGACAGCUCUUUCUUGAUUCCAAGGGAGGUGGUGCAUGGCCGUCCAGCUUUUGUUGUGAAAUCUCUGUUUGAUUACGGUAAACGGCGAGACCUUGACUUGCUGAUUGGUGUGCGCCUGCGUUAGCAGGCGUUGGAGAUUACGCGCAAGCGUGUCUUUUGAUACACCACUCAGAGGGACACUCGGCGUUGCUAUUGAGCGUAAGCCGAAGGAAGUUUGAGGCGAUAACAGGUCUGUGAUGCCCUUAGAUGUUCUGGGCUGCACGCGCGCUACACUGACGGGGGCAGCGAGUAUGCUUUGGGUGUUUGUGGUGGGGAAAGUCUUGUGCUUUUCUGCAUUCACAAACAUCUAUUCCUGCGCUGGAAGGCGUGGGGACUCUUGUGAAAACCCGUCGUGCUGGGGAUAGAUGCUUGCAAUUAUUCAUCUUGAACGAGGAAUUCCUAGUAAGCGCAAUUCAACAGAUUGCGUUGAUUACGUCCCUGCCCUUUGUACACACCGCCCGUCGCUACUACCGAUUGAAUGGUUUAGUGAGGCCUCGGGAUUGGCGCGUGGGCGCUGGCAACAGCUGCCCAUGUGUUUCUUUGCUGAGAACCUGGUCAAACUUGAUCAUUUAGAGGAAGUAAAAGUCGUAACAAGGUUUCCGUAGGUGAACCUGCGGAAGGAUCAUUC